UCCUCCUGGCCAAGGGCAAAGAGAUACCUUGUUGGUGGUGGUGUUCUUAGUCAGGGGCAGAACAGAUGGCAGUUCUUUGUUAAUCUUAGCUUGAUGCCUGGUUUGGUGGCCAAAGAUGUUUUAUGCCUAGGACACACAA